rnacentral:rRNA from 1 species
UACGAAGGGGGCUAGCGUUGCUCGGAAUCACUGGGCGUAAAGCGCACGUAGGCGGCUUGUUAAGUCAGGGGUGAAAUCCUGGAGCUCAACUCCAGAACUGCCUUUGAUACUGGCGAGCUUGAGUCCGGGAGAGGUGAGUGGAACUGCGAGUGUAGAGGUGAAAUUCGUAGAUAUUCGCAAGAACACCAGUGGCGAAGGCGGCCAACUGGUCCGGUACUGACGCUGAGGUGCGAAAGCGUGGGGAGCAAACAGG